AUUGAACGCUGGCGGCAGGCUUAACACAUGCAAGUCGAACGAGUGGCGGACGGGUGAGUAAUGUCUGGGAAACUGCCUGAUGGAGGGGGAUAACUACUGGAAACGGUAGCUAAUACCGCAUACCAUCGGAUGUGCCCAGAUGGGAUUAGCUAGUAGGUGGGGUAAAGGCUCACCUAGGCGACGAUCCCUAGCUGGUCUGAGAGGUUGAACCCCCACACUGGUACUUGGGCACGGACCAGACUCCUACGGGACGCAGCAGUGAGGAAUAUUGGUCAAUGGGCGAGAGCCUGAACCUGCCAAGUCUCGUGAAGGAUGACUGUCUUUGGAUUGUAAACUUCUUUUGUAGGGGAAUAUGUACCCUACGAAUAAGCAUCGGCUAACUCCGUGCCAGCAGCCGCGGUAAUAC
rnacentral:rRNA from 1 species